GGGUUGUGAGGUUAAGCGACUAAGCGUACACGGUGGAUGCCCUGGCAGUCAGAGGCGAUGAAGGACGUGCUAAUCUGCGAUAAGCGUCGGUAAGGUGAUAUGAACCGUUAUAACCGGCGAUUUCCGAAUGGGGAAACCCAGUGUGAUUCGUCACACUAUCAUUAACUGAAUUCAUAGGUUAAUGAGGCGAACCGGGGGAACUGAAACAUCUAAGUACCCCGAGGAAAAGAAAUCAACCGAGAUUCCCCCAGUAGCGGCGAGCGAACGGGGAGGAGCCCAGAGCCUGAAUCAGUGUGUGUGUUAGUGGAAGCGUCUGGAAAGGCGCGCGAUACAGGGUGACAGCCCCGUACACAAAAAUGCACAUGCUGUGAGCUCGAUGAGUAGGGCGGGACACGUGGUAUCCUGUCUGAAUAUGGGGGGACCAUCCUCCAAGGCUAAAUACUCCUGACUGACCGAUAGUGAACCAGUACCGUGAGGGAAAGGCGAAAAGAACCCCGGCGAGGGGAGUGAAAAAGAACCUGAAACCGUGUACGUACAAGCAGUGGGAGCCUCUUUAUGGGGUGACUGCGUACCUUUUGUAUAAUGGGUCAGCGACUUAUAUUCUGUAGCAAGGUUAACCGAAUAGGGGAGCCGAAGGGAAACCGAGUCUUAACUGGGCGUUAAGUUGCAGGGUAUAGACCCGAAACCCGGUGAUCUAGCCAUGGGCAGGUUGAAGGUUGGGUAACACUAACUGGAGGACCGAACCGACUAAUGUUGAAAAAUUAGCGGAUGACUUGUGGCUGGGGGUGAAAGGCCAAUCAAACCGGGAGAUAGCUGGUUCUCCCCGAAAGCUAUUUAGGUAGCGCCUCGUGAACUCAUCUCCGGGGGUAGAGCACUGUUUCGGCAAGGGGGUCAUCCCGACUUACCAACCCGAUGCAAACUGCGAAUACCGGAGAAUGUUAUCACGGGAGACACACGGCGGGUGCUAACGUCCGUCGUGAAGAGGGAAACAACCCAGACCGCCAGCUAAGGUCCCAAAGUCAUGGUUAAGUGGGAAACGAUGUGGGAAGGCCCAGACAGCCAGGAUGUUGGCUUAGAAGCAGCCAUCAUUUAAAGAAAGCGUAAUAGCUCACUGGUCGAGUCGGCCUGCGCGGAAGAUGUAACGGGGCUAAACCAUGCACCGAAGCUGCGGCAGCGACGCUUAUGCGUUGUUGGGUAGGGGAGCGUUCUGUAAGCCUGCGAAGGUGUACUGUGAGGUAUGCUGGAGGUAUCAGAAGUGCGAAUGCUGACAUAAGUAACGAUAAAGCGGGUGAAAAGCCCGCUCGCCGGAAGACCAAGGGUUCCUGUCCAACGUUAAUCGGGGCAGGGUGAGUCGACCCCUAAGGCGAGGCCGAAAGGCGUAGUCGAUGGGAAACAGGUUAAUAUUCCUGUACUUGGUGUUACUGCGAAGGGGGGACGGAGAAGGCUAUGUUGGCCGGGCGACGGUUGUCCCGGUUUAAGCGUGUAGGCUGGUUUUCCAGGCAAAUCCGGAAAAUCAAGGCUGAGGCGUGAUGACGAGGCACUACGGUGCUGAAGCAACAAAUGCCCUGCUUCCAGGAAAAGCCUCUAAGCAUCAGGUAACAUCAAAUCGUACCCCAAACCGACACAGGUGGUCAGGUAGAGAAUACCAAGGCGCUUGAGAGAACUCGGGUGAAGGAACUAGGCAAAAUGGUGCCGUAACUUCGGGAGAAGGCACGCUGAUACGUAGGUGAAGUCCCUUGCGGAUGGAGCUGAAAUCAGUCGAAGAUACCAGCUGGCUGCAACUGUUUAUUAAAAACACAGCACUGUGCAAACACGAAAGUGGACGUAUACGGUGUGACGCCUGCCCGGUGCCGGAAGGUUAAUUGAUGGGGUUAGCGGUAACGCGAAGCUCUUGAUCGAAGCCCCGGUAAACGGCGGCCGUAACUAUAACGGUCCUAAGGUAGCGAAAUUCCUUGUCGGGUAAGUUCCGACCUGCACGAAUGGCGUAAUGAUGGCCAGGCUGUCUCCACCCGAGACUCAGUGAAAUUGAACUCGCUGUGAAGAUGCAGUGUACCCGCGGCAAGACGGAAAGACCCCGUGAACCUUUACUAUAGCUUGACACUGAACAUUGAGCCUUGAUGUGUAGGAUAGGUGGGAGGCUUUGAAGUGUGGACGCCAGUCUGCAUGGAGCCGACCUUGAAAUACCACCCUUUAAUGUUUGAUGUUCUAACGUUGGCCCCUAAUCGGGGUUGCGGACAGUGUCUGGUGGGUAGUUUGACUGGGGCGGUCUCCUCCUAAAGAGUAACGGAGGAGCACGAAGGUUGGCUAAUCCUGGUCGGACAUCAGGAGGUUAGUGCAAUGGCAUAAGCCAGCUUGACUGCGAGCGUGACGGCGCGAGCAGGUGCGAAAGCAGGUCAUAGUGAUCCGGUGGUUCUGAAUGGAAGGGCCAUCGCUCAACGGAUAAAAGGUACUCCGGGGAUAACAGGCUGAUACCGCCCAAGAGUUCAUAUCGACGGCGGUGUUUGGCACCUCGAUGUCGGCUCAUCACAUCCUGGGGCUGAAGUAGGUCCCAAGGGUAUGGCUGUUCGCCAUUUAAAGUGGUACGCGAGCUGGGUUUAGAACGUCGUGAGACAGUUCGGUCCCUAUCUGCCGUGGGCGCUGGAGAACUGAGGGGGGCUGCUCCUAGUACGAGAGGACCGGAGUGGACGCAUCACUGGUGUUCGGGUUGUCAUGCCAAUGGCACUGCCCGGUAGCUAAAUGCGGAAGAGAUAAGUGCUGAAAGCAUCUAAGCACGAAACUUGCCCCGAGAUGAGUUCUCCCUGACUCCUUGAGAGUCCUGAAGGAACGUUGAAGACGACGACGUUGAUAGGCCGGGUGUGUAAGCGCAGCGAUGCGUUGAGCUAACCGGUACUAAUGAACCGUGAGGCUUAACCUUACAACGCCGAAGCUGUU
rnacentral:rRNA from 1 species